UUCUAAGGAAGUAUUGUUCCACUUUACUUAUCAUGGAAGUACAUUUGGAAGUGCACGAGUCUGUGGAAUGUACAGUUUUGUACAAAGGGACAGGCCAGACCUUCCGGCCAUUGCAAUGUCAGUGAGACGGGACGUACACGCGACGCGGGAGACCGUGGGCAACUGCCUCCCAACUUUCCGAUUUGCACAGCCAAACUACGGGCAUGGCGAAAACACUGCGUGUGCCGCGCUGAUAAACCCCAUGCAAUCGGAAUGCACCUGCUCCAGCAGCACAUCUAACUCCAACUCCACAUCCAACUCCCCCCAAGCCGUUAAGCCAACGCUAACGAGAGCAGAACUUGAUGAGCGCUCAACAGUCUUCAGCCUUAUGGAUGGGAGAUGCAUGGUGUGGCAUGGCUAUGAUACUCCGAACAUUUGAUGGGACUGGGGUACGCAAAUAGUAGUUAUAUUUUGCGGCAUGACGUAGGCCGCUUGAGGAUUGCGGUAUUGCGGAACCGAACCGUAGGGACGUGGGGAGGGAUGGCAGGAAGUGACUAGACCGGUGUGCUGUGUUAUGGCCAUGACGCGUGCCGGGCCCGGACCCGGGCCUGUGCCUGCACUUUUCCUGCAUCUCAUUACGGCUGGGGUCACACAUUAAGAACCGUUUUUAAUUGGAGUCCCCUCGAGGAAAUUGGUAUUGGUAUACGUAUCAUUACACAGAAAAGCCGCGAAAAAUGAACAUUGGAAACGGAGAGCGAGAGCGAUAGAGCCCACGAUGGGACGUUGGCACUGACUGAAAUGGAACUGCCUCCACGGCGCCGCGGCGCGAAUGCUGUUGCCAGUUCAUACACCGAACAUGUCGCAAAGGAACUUUUUGGAUUGGAUCCCAGGGUCGUCGGCUCUGGCAUUCGGCUACCGCCGCGUCAUCAUGAGCCAGCCAUGACGCCCAUUCAUACGACGCCGAAUCAAACGCUGGGCUACAGCUUCGAGACGAAGGACCUAUGUAUCGUAAGCUUCGCCACAAACGAAGUCGUAUCCGAUUUCGACCCGCCAGACGGAGUCGUAUCAAAGUAUCCCAGCCGGACAGAAUCGUAUCCCAGCAGGACAGAAUCGCACCCCGCAGCAUCCGAGUAUAACAAGCCAUCGACAACAAGGACUUUGACUAUGGCAACUAAGCGAGCGGCUACGCGGGCUACUGGACUCUAGAUACAUAUCGUUGUUGUUAGGUUUAAGGAUACAUUCGUUCAUACAUUUAGAUAGUAUAUACAAAUUUUGU